CGGAAUCGCGGCGCGUCCAGUGCCUGCUGGAGCUGCAGGUGCGGCACAUCCGCGCCAGGUUCGCCGUCUAUCUCACAGAAAAUCCCGGCGGCAGCAGCAGGGAAAUCCUGGAAAGCAAAGGAAUUCUGGUGGCUGACGUCAACACCUUCCUGGGGACGGUGCAGGAAGUGGCUGCUCCCUUCAGAAGGAGCUACUGGUGACGGAGCAGAACCACGGACACGGCUCCUCCCCAGGCCCUGGGGCACCGGUUUGGUGCCCAGUCCUGUGGGGACAUCCACAGCCAUCCCAGUGGAUCCCAGGCACCCAUCCCAGUGGAUCCCAGACACCCAUCCAGGGGAUUCUCACACCCAUCCCAGUGGAACCCAACCACCAGUGGAUCCCCACACCCAUCCCGGUGGAUCCUCAUCCCGGUGGAUCCCAGCCGCUGCUGGGGGAUCUGUUUUGGCUCUGUACAUAAAUGUUAUUUAAAGGCGGGGAGCACAAACCCUCUGGGAUCUGUUCCCCGCCAUCCGCUCUCCACGGAAAAGGUUCUGACGGUACCCGGAAAUCACCGCAGACCUUUCAGGCCUUCGGUGCCAUUGAGAUUCACCUCAAGUCGAUUUUCCCAAAGUUUCCUGACGGUUGGGAAGGAGAAGAAAUCCGUUUUCCACGUGGCUGCUGCCGUUCAGGCCCACACUACACUCCAGCUCCCUUGGUUCCAGUUCCUGCCCGCAGAAUCCUCGGAAGGAGCGGGAAGCCGGGAUGGGGGAACGAGAGUUGUUCCUUACGGGGAAACGCCACAUCCGAGCCCCAGUCCUGACCUGGCUCCACGGGCCAGGGGCCUCCUUGGAGUUUUGUUCCGAAAUCCCAGAGUGCGAGGCCGUUCUGUACAGGAUGACUUUGUAGAGUUUGAUUAAUAAAACCUCAAAAAAAAAUGGGAUUUUCCCCCAGCUCUGCUUUCUGGAGAGGGGAUCCCGCUCGGCAUCCGGCCUUUUCCGACAGGGAGGGCUGGGGGUUUUCCAGCUGGGAUGGAGGUUGGGAAUCGGCAAGGAGCGAGCAAAUGAUGGAUGUCAUCGUCCCAUGGAUGCCACCAUCCCAUGGAUGCCAACGUCCCAUGGAUGCCAUCGUCCCAUCAUCCCAUGGAUGCCAUCGUGCCAUGGAUGCCAUCAUUCCCAUGGAUGCCAUCGUCCCAAGGACACCACCAUCCCAUGGAUGCCGUCAUCCCAUGGAUGUUGUUGUCCCAUGGAUGUUGUUGUCCCAUGGAUGCCAUCGUGCCAUGGAUGCCAUCGUCCCAUGGAUGCCAUCGUGCCAUCGUCCCAUGGACGCCAUCGUCCCAUCAUCCCAUGGAUGCCAUCAUCCCAUGGAUGCCAUUGUCCCAUGGACACCGUCAUUCCAUGGACACCAUCAUCCCAUGGAUGCCAUUGUCCCAUUGUCCCAUGGAUGCCAUCAUCCCAUGGAUGCCAUCGUCCUGAGCAGCAGGGGGGGAUAAUGAAUAAUCAAUCCCAUCUGAGGGUUUCUUUUCCACCUGCACUGGGUCCGGCCUGGCUCGUGGGGGCUGCACGGGAGGAACCUCCCCAGCUGAGCCAGGGGAAGCACUCCUGGAAGUGAAACCUCAGGAAUUCUUCGUGGAAGUGAAACCUUGGAAAGUGCUUCUGGAAGUGGCACCUCGGGAAUUGUUCCUGGAAGUGAAACUUCGGGAAUUGUUCCUGGAAGUGGCACCUUGGGAGGAGGAAGUGCCGGAAGCCACGGCCGGGGGAAGCCGCGGGAAGCACCGGCUCAGCUGCGGCACCGCGUCGGGACCGAAGCUGAGUUCCCGCUGGAACUCCCAGAGCUGCUCCAGGGCUUUCCCUUGGCUCUCCCGGCACCCGGCCUCGCUGCCAGCUGGGGGAGCGGGAAAGAUCACUCUGGGAUCAGGAAUGAUCACUCCGGGAUCAGGGAAGGAUCACUCUGCGAUCAGGAAAUGAUCACUCCGGGAUCAGGGAAGGAUCACUCCAGCAUUGGGAAGGAUCACUCUGGGAUAGGAAAGGAUCACUCUGGGAUGGGGAAGGAUCGCUCCAGGAUCAGGAAUGAUCAUUCUGGGAUCGGGAAUGAUUGCUCCAGAAUCGGGAAGGAUCACUGCAGGAUCAAGAAGGAUCGCUCUGGGUUGGAACACCGCUGCAGGAAUUGCUCUGUGCUGCUGCUGCCGAUUCCCGGCGGAGCCGCAGGAACCGGGAUUGUGCCGAAGCACAGCCGGAGCUGCAGGAACCGGGAUUGUGCCGAAGCACAGCCGGAGCCGCAGGAACCGGGAUUGUGCCGGAGCACAGCCGGAGCCGCAGGAACCGGGAUUGUGCCGGAGCACAGCCGGAGCCGCUGGGCCUGGAAACCAUUUCCAGCUCCAGGAAACGCUCCCGUGUCACCCCAGCAGGCAGAGAUCCCGCGGGAUCCGAGCCCGGAGCCGCUGCUCCGGCAGUGCAGUGAAUCAGACCGAGGCCAGGACUGGUUUCCAGAAUUUGGCUUUACUUGGCAGUACAGAAAUCAUUUGGAGCCUCCAGGAGAAGCACGAGCUCCGUCAUGCCGAUACCGCAGCGCCGUUUGGUCCAUCCCAGAAGCCACCAGGGGACACAAAAUACUUCCACAUCUUGCCUGCUCUGUAAUUUGUUCUCUCAAUUUUAUUAAGAUUAAAACACAAAGGAGCCUCAGGCACAGCUGUGUCCCAACCGAUGGAAACGGGUUUAGAAGCUUAAGUGGAGGUUAAGUUCUGUGCCCAGAACGAAGCCAACAUUUGCUGCUACAAUAGGUGUGGGCUUUGUCCAUGAUACAACUUUGCCACAGAGUUAAAGAUUGAUGGGAGAGACUUUUUAGGGAUGCUGUCCACAAUAAUGGAGUGCUCAGUUUCUAUUUUCCUUGAUAUCAGGUUUGAGUGACAUCAGCGUCACAUCUACGAGCUCACCAGAAGCACAGGAUCGUGAAGGAUGUUUUACAAAUGAUUAAAAAGACAAGGGAAGA